AGUCUCAUUCGCCUUUCGCAGUUUGAACCAUCCUCCUUCCUGCUGCCUGGAUUCGGUUACAUCGUCGUGAGUCAGAAGACGUGACGAACACGAACACUCGCACACUGAGGUGACCGAGAGAAGACGGUCUGCGAGGAUAGUCUGCUUCCGGGGUGGCAGGCAAAUGUUAGACGUGUGAGGCGACAGACGUGUGAGCCUCUCGCUGGUGAAUAAGUGAGCACACCCGUGUCCUUGAUCUUCGUGGCUGGCGCUUACAGACGAGUGGCACCUGAAUAGCAGGCCCUGUGUUGCUGAAGUAAUAGACGAUCAGCCUGCAGGGACACAAUAUCCUCCAAUUUGGAUGAUUCUUUUUUACCUUUCUUUUGGGACUGGCACUGUUUUUUUUUCACUUGCUCGUUUGUUGCCCUUGGCCAGUGCCUCAUACAUAAAAAAAGUAAAAAUAAAUAAACAAAUUAAAAUAAAUGAAAAAUAUAAAUAAAUAAAAAAAUAAAUAAAUAAAAAAUAAGAAUCUUACGACCUCCCCUUCCCAGCGCCUGGCUCAGGAAAGAUCAGGCUUGCAGUGGGUGAGGCGGGUCACCUGGUGGUCCAGGAGUGUUCCUCAUGAACUGCCGCCAAUCAUAUGUACCGGAUAAAGCAAUGCUGCAUGAAACACUGACGAAAAAUGCAGCGCCAUUCCCAGUCUGCAUCUUGAAUUACAGUGGAUAUCUUUUGACUGACACGGAAUCUUGAAAAUAUAUAUCGGCAAUGUCAUGUUUAAAUAAAGAUACUUCGAUCCCCAGAUUUGGCUUUAUUUCUCUGAAAAGACAAGCAGGACAGACGACAAGACAAGACAAGACAAUACAAACACACACACACAGAAAAAAAAAGACAAAAACAGACAAACAAAUACAAGGCAAUACAGAAACACACACAAAGGCAAGACAGACAGACAAAGAAAAAAAAAACAAGACGAAGGUAAACAAAGACAAAAGAAACAAAGAUAAGGCAAUACAGAAACACAGACAGAAAGGCAAGACAAGAUAAAAACGCAAGAAAACAAAGACAAACACAAGAAACACGGAUAAACAGAUAAACGAAGACACGGCAAGACAAACACAGACAGACAGGAGCACAAGACGAAACGGAAAGAGGCAAAACAAACACAGACAAAGACGAGACAAAAUGAAACAAACGGUCAGAAAGCUAAGACAAAAACACAAAACAACAAAACAAACACAGGAGAGACGGAGGGAUAAGACAAAAGACAAAAACACAGACAGACCCAGUGCCCUUAAUAAUACAUGUAGGUUAGAUCACAAGUCCUCAAUGAUUCUGAAGCUGGUGUAGUGUUUCCGUGAUGCUCAUGUCGGCAUACCGCCUUGAGGUCUUGCAAGUAAUCUUGUUUAUGUAAUAAGACCACGCCGCUCAUCCAUCGCCCGCACCAGCUGCAUAUUUCCAGCUAUAACACAUACACACACACACACACACACA